rnacentral:rRNA from 1 species
GGAAUAUUGGGCAAUGGGCGAAAGCCUGACCCAGCAACGCCGCGUGAGUGAAGAAGGCUUUCGGGUUGUAAAGCUCUGUUAUAGGGGACGAAGGAGUGACGGUACCCUAUAAGGAAGCCCCGGCUAACUACGUGCCAGCAGCCGCGGUAAUACGUAGGGGGCGAGCGUUGUCCGGAAUGACUGGGCGUAAAGGGCGUGUAGGCGGUCAUUUAAGUCUGGAGUGAAAGUCCUGCUUUCAAGGUGGGAACUGCUUUGGAUACUGGAUGACUUGAGUGCGGAAGAGGUAAGUGGAAUUCCCAGUGUAGCGGUGAAAUGCGUAGAGAUUGGGAGGAACACCAGUGGCGAAGGCGACUUACUGGGCCGUAACUGACGCUGAGGCGCGAAAGCGUGGGGAGCGAACA